GAGCCUGCUCUGAUUAUCUGAGAAGGAAUUAGGUCAUUUCUUUCUCUGUGUUUCCACAGAACAUCAUGCCCGCCUCUCUACCCACCUACAUCACAUUAUUCUCAAAGCUCCAUUUCUGGGUCAGCUUUCCCACACUAGAAAGAAGAGAGCUUUUGAUGCUUCCUUCUCCAUGAUGCUUAAGAGAUCUGCUCCAGAAGAUGAGCCAGCACUUAUUUCCAAAGCUACAGAGGUUGUCUCUAAGGGACGUUUUAAAGAAUGCCAUUUACAGUGACCACACAGUAGACUGAAGAAAAAGAAGUAACAAAUUGUAUACAGACAUCAUGGAAAAGAGAGCCAUCAUGGAAAAAAGUGUGCUGACAAAGAUUACUCCUUCAAGCAAGGUUGCGCCUAUUCUCUGAUGGGCAGCCUUUAAAUUAAAAGGUGCGGGUAGCCAAUAAGUACCUUCAGAGAAGAGGGUGGGAGGACCACGAUGACAAAAAUCGUCCAGAUUCUAUUACAUGUUAUUUGUCACUCAAAAGAAAGGCUUUAACCGACAAAAGCAGGCUUUUCCCCAGACGGUGACUUUGCUGGCUACGUGCGUAUUAUGAAGCCCGUUCUCCCCAACUGACCACGAAGCAAAGCCUGAAGUGUACACUGAAUAAAAGAGAAUGUCUGUCACUGAGACAAGAAAACUGAAGGUACCCCAUAAGAGAAAAAGCUGGGUUUUUUCCCUUUGCUUCUCUUCCAGCUUUUAUUCUUGCUAGGACCUGCACCCCUGCCCUACACAUGCCUUCAUGUAUGCCCUCCUUGUAAGGGACAAAGAGUUAAUGAUACCUUUGGAGUCUUUCAGCACAACAGAUAAUAUCUAAGGAAUGACACAGCAGAGUCAUCAUGUGACUAUUCCAGAUUACUGGCACUGGACAUAUCGACACCAAGACCCUUGGCUUCAGGCUUGUUUGCUGACACAAGAGUCUGAGAAGUGAGAGACGAAAGGAAAGGAGGACGGGUACCAGUCGCAAGCUCCUUCAGCAUUAAAGCAGUGACUAACACUAAUUACGCCUCUCAGACCUGUUUGAGCAGACCUGUUUUCUCUAUGAAUUAAUGCAGAGUGACCUACUUUUCUACAUGUUAUUUGUUAUUUGGGCUGUUAUUUUAUCGAUUUUGAGACUGUUUUGUUACAUGGGAAUGGAAAAAUCUAAUACAAUAAAACUCUUCUCAUUGAAAAUAAUAAAGCUACAUCACGAAAUAUAAAUUUAUGUGUUUCCUUAUAAAAAGAUAGCAUCUGUGGACUACAUUUAGGUUGUGGGAAUUAGCUGAAGGCUGUUUCAGUGGAUUAAUAAAAACAAAAACAAAUAUGAAUACAUUAAUGUUUAGACAUAAAACCUAAGAUAAAAUAAUAGACUGCAUUUCUAAAUUUUAAAACUUGUUUGUUUAUAAUAUUCUAGA